CCACGUGGAAACCUCUUAUCUGGAAGUCAGAUGUCUGCAGCAGUGGUCAACCCCUCCACCACACCUGCUCAGUCCAGCCAAAUGUCUGCAGCAGUGGUCAACCCCUCCACCACACCUGCUCAGUCCAGCCAAAUGUCAGCAGCAGCAUUAAUGGAAAAUUCAUUAGAGAGAGACAUGUCAUU